rnacentral:rRNA from 1 species
AUUGAACGCUGGCGGCAGGCCUAACACAUGCAAGUCGAACGAGUGGCGGACGGGUGAGUAAUGUCUGGGAAACUGCCUGAUGGAGGGGGAUAACUACUGGAAACGGUAGCUAAUACCGCAUACCAUCGGAUGUGCCCAGAUGGGAUUAGCUAGUAGGUGGGGUAAAGGCUCACCUAGGCGACGAUCCAUAGCUGGUCUGAGAGGGUGAUCAGCCACACUGGAACUGAGACACGGUCCAGACUCCUACGGGAGGCAGCAGUGGGGAAUAUUGCACAAUGGGCGCAAGCCUGAUGCAGCAAUGCCGCGUGUAUGAAGAAGGCCUUCGGGUUGUAAAGUACUGUCAGCGGGGAAGCGUUACCCGCAGAAGAAGCAACGGCUAACUCCGUGCCAGCAGCCGCGGUAAUUC